rnacentral:rRNA from 1 species
UACGUAGGGGGCGAGCGUUGUCCGGAUUUAUUGGGCGUAAAGAGCUCGUAGGCGGUUGGGUAAGUCGGGUGUGAAAACUCAGGGCUCAACUCUGAGACGCCACUCGAUACUGCCCUGACUCGAGUCCGGUAGGGGAGCGUGGAAUUCCCGGUGUAGCGGUGAAAUGCGCAGAUAUCAGGAGGAACACCGGUGGCGAAGGCGGAUCUCUGGGCCAUUACUGACGCUGAGGAGCGAAAGCGUGGGGAGCGAACAGG